rnacentral:rRNA from 1 species
UACGGGGGGGGCAAGCGUUGUUCGGAAUUACUGGGCGUAAAGGGCUCGUAGGCGGCCAACUAAGUCGGAUGUGAAAUCCCCAGGCUUAACCUGGGAACUGCAUCCGAUACUGGAUGGCUUGAAUCCGGGAGAGGGAUGCAGAAUUCCAGGUGUAGCGGUGAAAUGCGUAGAUAUCGGGAGGAACACCGGUGGCGAAGGCGGUUCUCUGGGCCUUACCUGACGCUGAGGAGCGAAAGCGUGGGGAGCGAACAGG